GGGAGAGAACGUGGCGCCGGAAACGGAAACGUCUGUGCAGACCAAUGGGGUGCCGAGAGAGAACGCUGACUCCGGAAACGUCCUGGCUGUCUGGGGAGGUGAGUCGCUUCACAGGAAGCGUCCCCCGGUGGCCAUGACCCCAGUGGCCAUGUGGCUGAGGCCCUGGGCAGUGGCUUCGUGACCGAAAGGCCCUGAACCCACCCCGAGGCCCCACAGCUUUUUCUCCAGCUCAGACACUUUCUGGGGCUCAGUCUUGCUGCGGCCCUUGUGGCAUUUGGCAGGCAGUGGGUGGACCAUGAGUGAGUUAGGAGGCCGAACUGCCCACCUCUACAAUGGGUUCCCAGGAGAGCGAACACGGGACCCGCUCCUCCAGGCCUCAGCCCCACUCUGGAAUGAGUUCAACAGCAAGGUACGGUGAGAGCUGGCGGCUUCAUUUUUGGAACCAGGGAGAGAGAGAGAGAGAGAGGUUUAUGAGAGACCUCAUGAGACAGCUCAUGAUGGAAGUGAGACUGAGUUGCAGUGAACCCUGUCACUGAAGAGACAGCCUUCACACUGUGUCUUGCAGGGGAAAAUACAACUCUUUAUUAAAAUUUAUUGCCCUGAAAAA
rnacentral:lncRNA from 1 species